GCCAGGCGUGGUGGCACACGCCUGUAGUCCCAGCUACUUGGGAGGCUGAGGCAAGAGAAUCGCUUGAACCCAGGAGGUGGAAGUUGCAGUGAGCCAAGAUGGCACCACUGCACUCCAGCCUGGGUAACAGAGUGAGACCCUGUCUCAA
ensembl:misc_RNA Metazoa_SRP Metazoan signal recognition particle RNA